rnacentral:rRNA from 1 species
GACGAACGCUGGCGGCGUGCUUAACACAUGCAAGUCGAACGGUAAGGCCCCUUCGGGGGUACACGAGUGGCGAACGGGUGAGUAACACGUGGGUAAUCUGCCCUGCACUUCGGGAUAAGCCUGGGAAACUGGGUCUAAUACCGGAUAUGAACUCCUGCCGCAUGGUGGGGGUUGGAAAGUUUUUCGGUGCAGGAUGAGCCCGCGGCCUAUCAGCUUGUUGGUGGGGUAAUGGCCUACCAAGGCGACGACGGGUAGCCGGCCUGAGAGGGUGAUCGGCCACACUGGGACUGAGACACGGCCCAGACUCCUACGGGAGGCAGCAGUGGGGAAUAUUGCACAAUGGGCGAAAGCCUGAUGCAGCGACGCCGCGUGGGGGAUGACGGUCUUCGGAUUGUAAACCCCUUUCAGUAGGGACGAAGCGCAAGUGACGGUACCUGCAGAAGAAGCACCGGCUAACUACGUGCCAGCAGCCGCGGUAAUACGUAGGGUGCGAGCGUUGUCCGGAAUUACUGGGCGUAAAGAGCUCGUAGGCGGUUUGUCACGUCGUCUGUGAAAUCCCUCGGCUUAACCGGGGGCGUGCAGGCGAUACGGGCAGACUUGAGUACUACAGGGGAGACUGGAAUUCCUGGUGUAGCGGUGAAAUGCGCAGAUAUCAGGAGGAACACCGGUGGCGAAGGCGGGUCUCUGGGUAGUAACUGACGCUGAGGAGCGAAAGCAUGGGUAGCGAACAGGAUUAGAUACCCUGGUAGUCCAUGCCGUAAACGGUGGGCGCUAGGUGUGGGGUCCUUCCACGGACUCCGUGCCGUAGCUAACGCAUUAAGCGCCCCGCCUGGGGAGUACGGCCGCAAGGCUAAAACUCAAAGGAAUUGACGGGGGCCCGCACAAGCGGCGGAGCAUGUGGAUUAAUUCGAUGCAACGCGAAGAACCUUACCUAGGCUUGACAUAUACAGGACGACGGCAGAGAUGUCGUUUCCCUUGUGGCUUGUAUACAGGUGGUGCAUGGUUGUCGUCAGCUCGUGUCGUGAGAUGUUGGGUUAAAUCCCGCAACGAGCGCAACCCCUGUCUCAUGUUGCCAGCACGUAAUGGUGGGGACUCGUGAGAGACUGCCGGGGUCAACUCGGAGGAAGGUGGGGAUGACGUCAAAUCAUCAUGCCCCUUAUGUCUAGGGCUUCACACAUGCUACAAUGGCUAGUACAGAGGGCUGCGAUACCGCGAGGUGGAGCGAAUCCCUUAAAGCUGGUCUCAGUUCGGAUUGGGGUCUGCAACUCGACCCCAUGAAGUCGGAGUCGCUAGUAAUCGCAGAUCAGCAACGCUGCGGUGAAUACGUUCCCGGGCCU